rnacentral:tRNA from 1 species
CCCCUUGUGUUCUGUAAUGGUAGCAUUUCACUCUGUAAAAGUGACGGUAUCGGUUCAAUUCCGGUCGAGGGGA